rnacentral:lncRNA from 1 species
AGGUUAGUGUUUGUUAGACGUCGAUCACUUGACGACCAUCCUUUGUCUUGGUACUAGUUCAAAUUAGCCAUCUUCAGGUUGGUCCAUCAGCAUCACCUUUUGGAGUAGCUUGCACUUUACGACAUCUUGUGGUCGACUUGGUUCUAGUCCUACGCAUAUCGUGAUUAAUUAACGUACCUAAAUGAUUUGCAUAAUCCACAUGAAUGCAUAUAAACAAGAAUAGUACAAGACUAAAUAUUUUUGUACCAAAGAGAAUUAGACACGCGUAGCAAGACGUUGCCAACUCUAAUAUGCAAAUACUCGAUAUUUUUGACUUUCUAAGACAACGAUCAUGAACUUCCAGUUAAUCGGAUCCAACUCAGGCAUCAAUCAACAAUAACUAUAAAUACACGCUAUGUACCCUUAAUUAAAGCAUAACAUGGAGAGUCUAAUAAAACUCCGACUCACUAUUACCGGACACCCAUGACUCAGACUAAGAAUAGAAACCAUUCAAUUAACUUCUAGAAUUACUAUUUUCGGCUAUUAUGCGUAGGACCAACUAAAUUAAAUAUCUCAUUUAUCCUUAAUCUAACAAGUAGAACAUUAUCAUGCAAUAUAAAGUUCUACGAAACUGCUUUCCUAGCACCAAAAAUCUAAACCGCUUAUGCUCACUCCCCACCGACAAUCCUCAAGUUUUUACAGAAAUAGACUUAUUGAUGUUACUCGAUUUUAAAUAUUUGAAAACCAAGCGAUAAUAAAUCAUGACACUUGAUCGACCACUAGCAGAGAAUAUGACGAUUGCUAAAGUAAUCUAUCGACAUCAUCACACAAAUGUAGCGUGCUUACUACAAACACGUAACUGUAUCAUAUAAAUAGGAUCACUUCAAUUACUAGACCUAUAUAUCUACGAAGACACUUGCCAUCGAAAUUGUAUUUUUAUUUUUUAUCAACUUAAAUAUCUGAAGUAUUUACACCUACCACAGGGUUUUCUCCGAUUUCCAACAGAUGCUGGCUCACCGAUGUUACUCAACAAUUAGCCAAGACACCUAAUCGACCACUGAAUAUCGUAUAAUGGCUCCUACAUCAGGACAUCGACGAAAUACAUCCAAAGCAACUUAACAACAUCUAUCUGCUAGACCUUAGAAACACUAGUCCUAUAAUUUGUAUUAUUAAUUCGGUCACAUAAUUUAGAUAUGUCUACCCUCACCCUUCAUAUGAAUCGCAUCUAAAAUCCCGAUUUCAACACACAUAUGCUAAAUCAAGAAAAUCAUCGCGUUCAACAAUUCUAUUUGAUCCAUCAACCCAAUCAACUAAUAAAAUAGUGAAUCAGUUUACCUAAAUCCGAUUUGGAAUUCGCAGAAAUGACAACGCUCACAUGUUUAAGAUGUUCGACGAAUAUAUUUGACGAGCGUCACGCGAGAAUCGCUUCUUCACCUAACUCUCGGGAUUUCUUGAUGACGCACAGAAGACGACAAGUUCGAUGACGCACACGCAUGAUGAGUCAGGCUCUACAGAGAUGUGUGCAAGGGGAGGUGAGCUCGCGGUGCUAAGAGUCGACGGCGCGGUUCGAGACGGCUGGGCACGUAAGCGAGCUACGGACAGUCCCGGCGCACAGCACGACGUCGAGGGCCUGGUGACGCAGCUGCUAUUGGAGGAAGCGCGGCUGCAGAGCUCAGUACAGGACAUGACGCGGUCCUGUACGGUGCGAGUAGGGAGCAUCGCGCGCAGACGGGUCGCGCGGCAUGGACGAGUAGAAAUGGAGCACGACUAGAGGAGCGUUGGCCGGAGCCGUACGUGGAGCUCACGGUCAGCACCAUGGAAGAUGAAGACAGCAUCCGAGACCUGGCAAGGACGACUGGCGUGGCCUGGGCACCAGAGCUGAGCUCGCGUCGGAGCGGCCAGUGGCGCAGAGGGCGGAGCACGGCCAAAAGAGCAUAGGAAGCUCACAUCGGCGUCUGGCAGGCACACGCCAUGGAUGGAGCAUGGAGGCGAGGAGAACGAGAGCGGAGUGAGGCGAGCGUCCAAGAGCUGUGUGGGGAGAACGAGAGCGGAGUGAGCUUGUCAAGGAACUGAACGUACAAGGAAGAACAAGUUCGUACGUGAGGGAGAUGAGAGCCUAGCGUUGGGUCUUGGCGAGUUGCUGGAAGCAACGAACGGUGCAGAAGUUCGAGGGGGCAGGUGGCAUGAAUGUGGUGGCUGGGAGUAUUCCAGAGAGCUGAGAUGGUGAUAGGAGAUGAGAAAGACUAGAGCUGCGGUGGAUAAAAUUUCCAAGGAAAUCAAGUAACGUAUGUAAAGAAAUAGAAUUAGAUAAAUACGUAGAGGAUAAAAAAACUCAGAUUUUCUUUCUCUUUUCUAAACAAUAUGCAUAGAUAAAUGCAGUUAUAGAAAUUAGGUUUAAAAGAUAUAGAAAUAGUUCGCACCAACCUAAGAUCAACGACAAUAUUUAAACAUGAUUUGAUUUGGUGAAUACUAUAAAGUCAGAUGAAUUAUUACCCAUAUUUAUAUUUGAAGAUUUAGAUCGAGAAGAGAAGCACACGGACUAAAUUAAACUGAUUUCGGCUUCGAUAAUUUAGAUUAUAUUUAAUCCAGUCAAAUUUUUACGAGUCUCACGUGCUAUCGAUCAUUUGACUACAGAACGAUUCGAUUAAUAAGCUGGCGUAUUGUUUUUCUCGAACAACACGUAAAUAGACAGAUCCAAAAUAAUACCGGCUUCAGUACUUCAGAUGAUAUUUGAUGCAUCUGAAAUCGGACAAAUAUUUAUCUGCCAUUUGAACCUAUUUGAUUUCUCCGUCGAGGAUAAUUUGUUGGAAACCAACCAUGAUUAUAAUUCUUCAGACACGAUGUUUCGCUUGACGAGAGGGGACUAAAUUAUUUUGCAUCGAAAACUUUAGUCGUCGAGUUCUAUUUAAUUUGUUUUGGAUGAACUCAGAGGACUGGACUAAAUUUUCAAAUUCGUCUUUGCGCGAGCGAUGAAUUUUUAAAUAAUCACCAGACUCACCGAUUUUUGGAACAAUUAUGUUCCGAACAUCACGAAAAUUUAGGAAAAGUUCGGAUAGAUAAAGAUAAAAAUGAUGUCGAACUCGCGACAGACGAAACAGAUUAAGACAUAGAGACUAUUAUUUUUCCAUACUUAAAUCCAUACUUGCUGUUAAAUGUAUAGUAACACCUGGGGUGUUACAGCCCCCCUAAAAGAAUCUCGUCCCGAGAUUCAGGGCGAAAGACUUUUAAGAGUAGAGAAGCAUGUAACCCUUGUCCAUAUCAGCGAUAAUCAUAAAACAGUUCCAAGCAAAGGCGAGUAUCUCAGGAUGUAGUUUCUCUAGUGGAUAUAAUAUGUAUCGCCGUAAGCUAAUUUAGAGAUGUCCAUCAGUAGAUGCGAUGUCUACCAGAAGAACACAUAAGGUUCCAUGUGUGCAGUUUGCUUUUUCUGAUGACACUGUACUAUCUGAGUCUGUUGAGCGAGCGGUCAUUAUGUGACUUUAUCCAAACAGAACUAGAUGCAACCUCUUGGGUAAAACACACAAAAAGAGGUUUACCAACAAGUGGUCAUUGAAAAUUCAUAACACAUAAGAUGAGUGUGGAUGUCGAACAACAUCACAGUUAACUCGUGGUUAUUUGAGGAAUUCAAGUUCCAGGAAGAUGAUAAAAAUUCGAGGAACGCAUUAGUGAAGAUAAUCAACAAAUGUUGACUUCACAAUCAAUCCAUUUUAUCGAGCACUAAGCAUGACUCGACCUGAUCACUCAUGCUGGAAAAGCACAUGUGAGGCGAUCGAGGCAUGAUUAGAGCGAUGAUUAGGUGGUUAUCAGUCGACUUGACUUAAUAAUAAUUUUUUUUGGAGAUUUCUAAAUUGCUAGUGAAUUCGUUAAAGAGCACAUUAAAGUGUUAUGCUCUUUUGAUCCAAAAGAGAUGACAGAUGUUGCUUGAUCACUUCGACAAACAACACCGAAAUUGUUUCAAUGGAGAGAUCUAUGGAAGAUAACAUAUCAGUGUAGUUCCAUAAUGGAUCAUGACUAGAGACCUCAAUACCAGCAUGCGCCAAGCAGCAUAACCUUGCGUGUACAUUCACAAGGGGCUCUCAGUUUCGCUGCGGCACCAUAAGUCAUUAACCAUGACACCUGUGGUAGAACCUCCCAAGUUAUUGGGCCCACAUGCACCUGCCCUUGUCUCAAAGGCCUCAGACGACUAUGCAUGUGCACCAGAUAACUUAACAGGAUCCGUCCGAGUGUCCCAAGGACCCCAUAUAAACCACCUACAACCAGGAUCGCAAGAUUAAGUAAACACAAAUCACACACCAACAUUUUUGCAGCGGAAUUUCUUUAUUACAAAAGUUACAAGUUACAACAAAUUUACAUUAUGUUUAUCGGAGUGAUUACAAAAGUGAUUCAAAAGAAUAAACUUUGAAAUGUUAUAAAUUAUUUAUAAGUUUGAAAUAUAUGCUAGCUUAAGUGACCAUCCUCAGUAAGAAGUAUAGAAGAGUUACUUAGACUUAUAAGAAGGCCGUGCCCACCGGUGCUUAACACCAUCCACAGUAGCACAAGUCUAGUACCUGCAACAACAUGGGUUCGAAAACCCUGAGUACGAAGUGUACUUUCACAAGUCUUACCCGUCUAAGGAAAAAGACUCUCAAGGAUAUGCUGGCUUUUGGGAACCAAGGUAUGGUUUAACAAGAUUCAAAGACUCUUUUGCAGAAAAGCUUACUAUGAGUGGAUCCUUAAGAAUUCAUUUUACUUGUCAGGUUAAGUAAAUUUACCUGCAUCUAGAGUUCUUUCUAUCCUAGUUCAAGCACUUGACCUACACUAGCCGUCUUUUAUCAUCCCUUCAGUUCACUGGAUUGCUACGUGUAGGGCAGUGACCAAGUCUUCAUAUCCAAGAAGUAACGGCGAUCCAAAUCGAUUAAUACCCAGCUAGGGAUCUCCAACCACACGACAUAUGUAGCACUUAACCCUUGCAUAUGUCAACUCACCACCGGGUUUCUCAAGACUAGACCGGGUUCACGCCAACCGAGAGCACAGAUACACCACCGUCCAGCCUCUUGCCACGGAGGGUACACGCUACUCUUGCCAUCUCUCCACUCCCAUUGCGUGUUGGCCUUUCUGGUAUUGGUCCGACCAAGGCAAAGCUUACCCAUGACGAGGCAUGUGGCCAGUUAAAAGGUCCUCAAUCAUCAAGCCUACAUCGACACGGUCCUUAAUCGACUCAGACGGAGACACUACAUCGAAACUCUCUUCUCACGCAAGUCACCUGCUCGGUCUCAGCUUUAUUAUUUAAAACCCAAAAAUUGGUACCUAGCAGAGGUACAUCUUUUUAGAUGUUGAACCCAUCACAGCCGUGAUGGAUCCACCAUCAUAAGUCUUUUCUUUGUAAAAAUUCUCAUCCACCGUGAAGCAUCACCUUUUGUUUUAAAACAAAACAUUUUGUUUUUAUAAAGCAAGGCUAAGCAUCAUAAAAAUCCUUUUCAUAAAAGGGAGUCAAGGAAUGAUGAUCAAUUUUCCAAGGAAGGAAACACAUCAACUAUUUAGCACACAAACCCUAUCACCUAAUGCGACAUAUAAGGUGAUAAAGAUUUUAAAACACAAGGAAAGGGAUAAUGCACCGGGGCUUGCCUGGAAUAACACUAGAUUAGUGUUGUUAGACGUCGAUCACUUGGCGACCAUCCUUUGUCUUGUCACUCGUUCAGUCUGUCCAUCUUCAGGUUCGUCCAUCAGCUUCACCAUGCGGAGUAGUCCACCCGUUACGUCAUCUUGGGGUCGACUCAGCUCUGGUCCUCCGCGUCAUGUGGUUAAUUAAUGUACCAAAAUAAUUUGCAUAAUGCACAUGAAUGCAUAUAAACAAGAAUAGUACAAGACUAAAUAUUGCUACACUGAAGAUGAUUAAAUAUUUAGUGUCGAGGCAUUACUACACUCAAACAACGCUAGAUAUUACUAUACCACUAGAUAUAACAAUCAUGUUCCUUUAGCUUAACCCGAUCUAACUCAAUCUUUAAGAAAUGAUAACUAUGUGUAAGCUCUACGUGUCUUAGUUAAAGUUAAAUGCUAAAAACAUAAUAAUUCUAAACUCAGUGGUCUAAGAAAUUUAAAUCUAGAACAAGAACAAAAGCACAUCACUUCCUAGACCACGCGACCGGAUUAAAUUACAUACCACUCCAAGCUAUCAUAUAUAGCAUACCAUUUAAUAAAACAUCACAAUAUUCCUAGAUCAAGUAGGCAGAGUGCCGUCAAACAUUACAUAUUCAAUUAGCCAUCAACAUCUAUUUACGACCGCUAUCCCACCACUAGACAUAGCAUAUAAUGACUACUAGCAAGCAUUAAUUUCCUCAAAUAAAAUAAAUCGGCACAACAACAUUGUUAGAACCUAUAAGCUAGCCGGAUAAAAUACUCAAUCUAUCUUUUAUAUUAUUAAUCCACUCACGCUAUGUAUGUAAGUCUGCCAACACAUUCUUCAUCUAACUCGCAUUUCUAACUUAGAUUCCACACGCCUAUGAAGCGUUACUUCACAAACACGAACCUAACCAAAUCACAAUAUACAAUGAAGCAUUUUAAUAAACAAUUAAUACAACCACAACGCACGGUUGCUACCAUCCAGAGAACUAACGCAUCUAAUAUAGCUAACUAAUCCAAUCCUUGAACCAAUAGUAGGAACUAGCGAAUCAGUGUACUAUUACUAGUCGAUACAAAAUUCAUGAGAAUGAUGAUGAUCCCGGUUCAAACCAUCCAUCAAGCACUUAGCGCGGGAUGAACAAUGUCCUUCUCGUCGUCGCCCAGCAGCUAGAAUUCCACUUCUAUCAUCAACCCCAUAACAUCACACAACACAACGACAUGACAACGGAUCUAGCCAUAACUACCAAGCGCAUACCUACUAAAUAAAAUGAUCAUCGCACUAACCCAUUAAUUUAUUUAAUUAUCGAAUAACGCAUCCGCUCACCAUGACCAAAAAUAAUUUGAUAAUCGCAACUCGACGAUGAAUCAUGGUUCGGACGUUUUACCGAACACCAAGCGGACGCGGCAUGAACCUUCACCGCCUACACACUCUAGCCUUCCACGACAGUCGUAUACUGCUACACACACAUAUGACAUACCAUACCAUCACAAGGAAAUACAGAUCACUACACACGGAUUAAGAUGAUGUCGAUCAUUAAGGUAUUUUCUGAACACCCUACCUGCUAUCCUAACCACGGACAUCGGCAGUGGUUGCUGGUAUGAGACCGCUGUGGCACCAUACGAACACACAGAGGCGAGCUCACGUUGUGAGGGAGAACAGGGAUGACGGGGCAUCAGGGAGCCACGACCACGAGCUUGACGAGAAGACAUGCUACUGUUGUAGGGCCUGAUCAGAUGAGGGAGGUCAGCAGCGAUGCAUGUCUGGCGACCGAGAGGAGCUCGGAGGGCGAGACCUACAGGAAUCAAGUGCGAUAGGCGGAGAAGUAGCUGACGCGCGCGAGCAUCAGGGAGCCGGCGGAGGUAUCGCUGGUCGGACCAAGGCGGACUCGCUCGCGCAGAGGACGCAUGAGGGAGAUGCUAGAGUGGACGCAUAAGCGAUGGCGAUUGUGAGCACGAGCUGGGAGUUCCACGGCGGGGUCGCGACAGGGGAAGUCGUAGCGCGCGCGUCCAGGGAGAGAGAAAAGCACGGGAGCGAGCAGCGGGCGCAGCCAUGGAGAAGCACCACACGUAGCCAGGGAUGGACAGAGGGAGCAGGCGCGGCUGAGGAAAAUGGAGAGGAGGCUGAGCUGGAGAAACCAGGGAGCGGGGGCGCGCCAUGGGCGACCAGGGGAAGAACGGGCGCCAUGGGAGAGGGCAGGAAGAGGAAGCCGAGCGCCAUGGGAGAGAUGGAGAAGAUGACCUGGCGGCCGCCACGCGCAGGUAGCCAGCAUGUGCGCGGCUGAGCUGAGGUGAGGACCAGCGGCACAGACAUAUCCGAAUGCCGACGGUGAAGAAAUAUAUCUGAGGGAGAGAGAGAAGAGGGAGAUGGGCAUCAGCUUGUUGCAGAGAAAAAAAGGAGGGCGCAGGAACACACAUCCGAGCGGGCACAGGCAUGCGCAGCCUUGGGCGCUGAAGAUAAGGAUUGCCGAGCGCUGAAAUAUCCAGGGAGUAAGCACCACGCAUGAAAAAUCAACACCGCGCGUAACAGAAAAAAAUCAACACCAUGAGCGGCGGCAGAUAAAGAAUGGGAGAAAAAUCAAAUAUAGAUAUUUUUCCACUUUGCCAUUUUUACUUUUUACAACAGCGAAAUGCAGAUAUUUUGGGUAUAAAAUGAGGAUCUAUAAGAUAUAUAUAAGGGUCGAAAAAAUAAGAUUGACAACAAUAUUUGGACCGGAUUUAAUUUGGUAAAUACUUCGGAGUCAGAUGAAUUUUCACCCGUUAUUUAUAUCCGAACGUUCGGAUCUGGACGAGAUGCAAUCGGAACAAACCAGAAUGAUGUUAACAACGGUAUUUUAGACUGUGUUCGUUUUGAUUUAAAAUCAACUAAUUUCAUCCGCAGUCUCAACACCCGAUUUCACGACCACAAAUAAUUUACGUUGAAAAUCGAAUCUCAAUUAUAAUUCCUUGGGCGCGACUUCUCAGUUGACGAGUGGAGACUGAAUUAUUUUGCACCGAAAAUUUUAGUCAUCGAGUUCUAUUUAAUUUGUUUGGGAUGAACUCAGAGGGCUGAACUAAACUUUCAAAUUCGUCUUUGCGCGAGCGAUGAAUUUUAAAUAAUCACCAGACUUGCCAUAUUUCAGAACAAUUAUGUUCCGAACAUCACAAAAAUUUUGGAAAAGCUCGGAUAGAUAAAAAUGAUGUCGAACUCACGACAGACGAAACAGAUUAAGACAGAGAGACUGUUAUUAUUACUGAUAUCCCGUACUUACGUCCAUAGUCGCUGUUAAACGUAUGAUAACACCUAGGGUGUUACAACACCAUUACCGAACAACACCAAUAAUGAAUCCCACGUGGUCAAACUAGAUUGUGCCAAGAUAACACAUUGAUAUAGUCUCAUAAUGGAUUACAACUACUAACCGUGAUACCAGCGCGUGACGAGCAGCACGACCCUGUGUGUACAUUCACAGGAGGCCCUCGAUUUCGUCAAGGCACCAUCGGUUUUAGUCAUAACACCAUUACCAGAUGUAACCAAUAAGAAAUCUCACGCCACACAAAUAGAUUGAGCAAGGGUGACAAUAUACAAAGAGAUACUCCACCUAUAAGAAUGGUUACAUGUAGAGAGCCAAAUAGAUCAUGGCCCGAUGAAAUGAACAAGGCAUGGCCAUAACCUAAACUUGAUGAGAGAAGUACGAUGGGAGACUGUUACUUCAGCCCCAAGCAUAUUUCUAUGCCCCUCACAACAAUUACAAGGUCAAGGAUUAGGAUCUGAUUAGAUACGGAGGGAAAACAAUCAUAAGAUUAAGUUGGUAUACCUUCGAUAGAUAUGGGGAAACCAAAGGCAUCAAACUCAAGAAAAUGAUCGGACAUGUCUUUUCUAGGUUAGGUUGAUAAAAUAACGACAAUGCAAUCCUCCACGAAAGGCAAAAUAGAAUAGAGAUAUCAAUUUGCACCAACCGAACAAGGGAAUGGUUUUGGAAGGAGACAUGACUCGCGAUUCUUGUUUCAAGCCUGGGUACACUUUAUGUCCAACAAAGAAAUUAUCUAAGCAUUCAUUUGCAUGAGUUUGGUCAUGGAGGGAUAACGGAAAACUCAAAUUUAGGUCAUGGUUCACUAAAUAAGAACAUGGCCUAGUUUUGGGUUUAGACAAUCAGGUCACCAACAUUCUAUAGACACAUCAAAUACAAGAGCAAGCACAUAUAUAACACCUAAAUAGAUUACCUAAAGAACGGAGGACAACUAUUUCAUUGGAGUUCAUAAUACAGCAUUACACCACAUUAUCUACAAUCACCGGUUACUGGAAUAAAGGCGAGAGAAGCAUUUUCGUGCAUAGGUGACAAACAUGAUGCAACAAUCAAGAUGCAUGCUCGUCCUAUGCGUCCUCUCAAAAUUUUGCCAAUCUAAUGUGGCAAUAGCGUUCUAUAUCGGUGGCAUACUUAUGACUCUCUCGAUAUUUGGCUAGUCGUCAGCUACACAUACGUUUUCGAGGUUAGUGUACCUAUAGAAAAUUCCAUCAAAACCCAGUUUCCCUUGAUGCAAUUCACACAUGACAGUUUUACCACAGUGUAUACUCCAUAUAUUGCUAUAUGGAGGCCAGCUCUUCAUUAACCGUCGAGCCAUGCAUAGGCGCCGCUGCCACACUUUAACCACAGGGCAGCCCAUUAUGGUAACUCACCUUUUUACCUGAGCGUAGGUGCGUCGUUGCAAGUACAUUACACUUCUCAGUAGUCCCAUGUUUGUAUGCCCAUACACAUCCAUGGGGUACUGAAUUCCCAGAAAAGUAAAUACUCCACAUCACAGUCUUCAUAUAUACAUAUGUAGUACAUGUAUAUAGUCGGACGCCACAUUUAAACACUCCCCUAGACCGACGUUUGUUCGGUCAUGCUCUCACAUCUCACCUUACCUUGAGUGUCGAUCCAUUCAAAACUGAAUGGCCUCAAAAAUAACAAUACACACGUAUGCAAUAUCCCCCCGAUUGUGGGUUAGUGUUUUGAACUAAGCCACCUGAUAGUCCUUAAUUUAGGGCUUAAUAGAGGAUGUCGCUAGCAUUAUAGUUUUGAAAUGUGUAGUUUUUCAAAACCAAACAAUGUGUUUAGUUGAAAAUAGGUUUUCUAAAACCAAAACUUUGUUUUAAAAUACGUGUGUUACCAUAUUGUACUUAAUCUUGCUCUGAUACCAGCUGUGACAGAACCUCCCAAGUUAUUGGGCCCACAUGCACCUGACCUUGUCUCAAAGACCUCAGACGGCUAUGCAUGUGCACCAGAUAACUUAACAGGAUCCGUCCGAGUGUCCUAGGGACCCAGGAUAAACCACUUACAACUAGGAUCGCAAGAUUAAGUAAACACAAAUCACACACCAACAGUUUGUAGCGGAAUUUCUUUAUUACAAAAAGUUACAAGUUACAACAAAUUUACAUUAUGUUUAUCAGAGUGGUUACAAAAGUAAUUCAAAGAAAUAAACUUUGAAAUGUUAUAAAUUAUUUAUAAUUUUGAAAUAUAUGCUAGCUUAAUGACAAUCCUCAAUAAGAAGCAUAGAAGAGCUACUUUAACCUAUAAGAAGGUCGUGCCCACCGGCGCUUAACACCAUCCACAACAACACAAUUCUAGUAUCUGCAACAACAUGGGUUCGAAAACCAUGAGUACGAAGUGUACUUUCGCAAGUCUUACUCAUCUAAGGAAAAAGACUCUCAAGGAUAUGCUGGCUUUUGGGAAUCAAGGUAAAGUUUAACAAGAUUCAAAGACUCUUUUGCAGAAAAGCUUAAUAUGAGUGGAUCCUUAAGAAUUCAUUUUACUUGUCAGGUUAAGUAAAGUUACCUGCAUCUAGAGUUCUUUCUAUCCUAGUUCAAACACUUGGCCUACACUAGCCGUCUUUUAUCAACCCUUUAGUUCACUGGAUUGCUACGUGUAAGUCAGUGACCAAGUCUUCAUGUCCGAGAAGUAACAGCGAUCCGAAUCGAUUAAUACUCAGUUGAGGAUCUCUAGCCACACGACCUAUGUAGCACUUAACCCUUGCAUAUGUCAACUCGCCACCGGGUUUCUCAAGACCAGACCGGGUUCACGCCAAUCGAGAGCACAGAAACACCACCGUCCAGCCUCUUGCCACAGAGGGUACACGCUACUCUCGCCAUCUCUCCACUCCCAUUGCGUGUUGGCCUUUCUGGUAUUGGUUCGACUGAGGCAAAGCUUACCCAUGACGAGGCAUGUUUGCUAGUUAAAGGGUCCUCAGUUAGCAGGCCCACAUCGACAUGGUCCCUAAGCGACUCAGAUGGAGACACUACACCGAGACUUCCUUCUCGUGCAAGUCACCCGCCCGGUCUGGUCUUUAUUAUUUAAACCCAAAGUUUGGUACCUGGCAGAGGUACAUCUUUUCAGAUGUUGAACCCAUCAAGGCCUUUGAUGGAUUCACCCUCAUAAGUCUUUUCUUUUGAAAAAUUCCCAUCCACUAUGAAGCAUCACUUUUUGUUUAAAACAAAACAUUUUGUUUUUCUAUAGCAAGGCUAAGCAUCAUAAAAUCCUUUUCAUAAAAGGGUAUCAAAGAAGGGUAAUCAAUUUUCCAAGGAAGGAAAUGCAUUAGUUGUUUAGCACACAACUCCUAUCACCUAAUGCAUCAUAUAAGGUGAUAAAGAUUUUAAAACACAAGGAAAGGGAUAAUGCACCGGGCUUGCCUAGAAUAACAAUAGGUUAGUGUUUGUUAGACAUCAAUCACUUGACGACCAUCCUUUGUCUUGGUACUAGUUCAAAUUAUCCAUCUUCAGGUUGGUCCAUCAACAUCACCUUUUUGAGUAGCUUGCGCUUUAUGACAUCUUGUGGUCGACUUGGUUCUGGUCCUUGAUUAAUUAAUGUACCUAAAUGAUUUGCAUAAUGCACAUGAAUGCAUAUAAACAAUAAUAGUACAAGACUAAAUAUUGUUGUACCAAAGAGAAUUAGACACGCAUAGCAAGACGUUGUCAACUCUAAUAUGCAAAUACUCGAUAUUUUUGACUUUCUAAGACAACGAUCAUGAACUUUCAGUUAAUCGGAUCCAACUCAGGCAUCAAGCAACAAUAACUAUAAAUACACACUAUGUUACCCUUAAUUAAAGCAUAACAUGGAGAGUCUAAUAAAACUCCGACUCACUAUUACCGGACACCCAUGACUCAGACUAAGAAUAGAAACCAUUCAAUUAACUUCUAGAAUUACUAUUUUCGGCUAUUAUGCGUAGGACCAACUAAAUUAAAUAUCUC